AAAAAUUGACAAGAUGGAGACUGAUCGUAAACAUGCAAUGGUAGUUCAGAAAAUUAAUUAAUUAGAGAGCAUAUAUAUAUAUGCAGCUUCUAUGGAAGAAAUUGUGAAGUGAUGACUCUGCAAUAUUGUUGACCAUAGUUGCGAUCUCAGAUAGUGUAUAGAAGAAAGCAACAAAGGAAGACGCUUUACUUUGGCCACAAAAACAAAUUUUGAAAAGAGAAA
rnacentral:lncRNA from 1 species